AAACUUUACAAUGCGGGAAACCGUGAUAAGGGGACACCGAGUGCUAGCAUCAUAUGCUGGCUGUCCAGGUGUACACCUGUAGCAAGGGCCGGCAAGACCGGUACCAGCCGCCGCGGUAACACGGGCGGCCCGAGUGGUGAUCGUGAUUAUUGGGUCUAAAGGGUCCGUAGCCGGUUUGGUGAGUCCUCCGGGAAAUCUAAUAGCUCAACUAUUAGGCUUCGGGGGAUACCGU
rnacentral:rRNA from 1 species